UACGUAGGGGGCAAGCGUUGUCCGGAUUCAUUGGGCGUAAAGAGCGUGUAGGCGGCCAGGUAGGUCGGUUGUGAAAACUGGAGGCUCAACCUUCAGAGGUCGACCGAAACCAUCUGGCUAGAGUCCGGGAGAGGAGAGUGGAAUUCCUGGUGUAGCGGUGAAAUGACGUAGAUAUCAGGAGGAACACCGGUGGCGAAGGCGGGUCUCUGGGCCGAUACUGACGCUGAGGAGCGAAAGCGUGGGGAGCGAACAGG
rnacentral:rRNA from 1 species